rnacentral:rRNA from 1 species
AUGUAUGAUUAUCAACUACUCAUCGCCGGAGUUUACUCCUCUGAGACUGACACAUGGGGCAAUUCCAUCUUGACAGAGGCUUCAGAUGACACUCUAUUUGGUCACAGUACUAGCACCCUUGUAGGUAAUUCCCUGUACUGGCCGGCUAAGCAUAAGGGAAAUGAUAUACUUGAGUUUGAUUUGCGCAAGCAGAACCUUACCGUGAUCAAGCGGCCUCAUGGUAUGAACAUGAAUGAUUUUGACAACUUUCAUAUCAUUGAGGAACAGGAUGGCGCUGUUGGUCUUGCCGCCUUGUCUCAUCUUAAGCUUCAAAUGUGGCAGAGGAAGGUCAAUUGUCUAGGUGUUGCCAUAUGGUUGUUGCGGAAAACCGUUUCAUUGAGUGAACUUCUUAAGAUCCCUGGGACCGUGAGAUGGAAUGAAUGGCUCAAAUUAGUGGGGUAUGAUGAGGAUACCGGUGCAAUCUUUUUAACUUGGCACGAUGUUGUCUGUAUGGUUCAGCUGAAGUCAAUGUAA